AUACGGAGGACGCGAGCGUUAUCCGGAUUCAUUGGGUUUAAAGGGUGCGCAGGCGGCCGUGCAAGUCAGCGGUGAAAGCCCGGGGCUCAACCCCGGAAGUGCCGUUGAUACUGCGUGGCUGGAAUGCGGUCGAGGCGGGCGGAACGGGGCGUGUAGCGGGGAAAUGCGUAGAUAUGCCACAGAACGCCGAUAGCGGAGGCAGCUCGCCAGGCCUGCAUUGACGCUCGGGCACGAAAGCGUGGGGAUCGAACAGGAUUAGAUACCCUGGUAGUCCACGCCGUAAACGAUGGGCGCUCGUCGUCGGCGACAGACAGUCGGCGGCCAAGCGAAAGCGAUAAGCGCCCCACCUGGGGAGUACGGUCGCAAGGCUGAAACUCAAAUGAAUUGACGGGG
rnacentral:rRNA from 1 species